CGAACGGUGAUCUCGGUGCUUGCACCGGGUGAUCAGUGGCGAACGGGUGAGUAACACGUGAGCAACCUGCCCCUGACUCUGGGAUAACCCCGAGAAAUCGGAGCUAAUACCGGAUACGAGACGCACAGGCAUCUGUAGCGUCUGGAAAGAAUUUUGGUCAGGGAUGGGCUCGCGGCCUAUCAGCUUGUUGGUGGGGUAACGGCCCACCAAGGCGACGACGGGUAGCCGGCCUGAGAGGGCGACCGGCCACACUGGGACUGAGACACGGCCCAGACUCCUACGGGAGGCAGCAGUGGGGAAUAUUGCACAAUGGGCGAAAGCCUGAUGCAGCGACGCCGCGUGGGGGAUGAAGGCCUUCGGGUUGUAAACCCCUUUCAGCAGGGAAGAAGCGAAAGUGACGGUACCUGCAGAAGAAGCGCCGGCUAACUACGUGCCAGCAGCCGCGGUAAUACGUAGGGCGCAAGCGUUGUCCGGAAUUAUUGGGCGUAAAGAGCUCGUAGGCGGUCUGUCGCGUCUGCUGUGAAAACCCGAGGCUCAACCUCGGGCCUGCAGUGGGUACGGGCAGACUAGAGUGCGGUAGGGGAGACUGGAAUUCCUGGUGUAGCGGUGGAAUGCGCAGAUAUCAGGAGGAACACCGAUGGCGAAGGCAGGUCUCUGGGCCGCAACUGACGCUGAGGAGCGAAAGCAUGGGGAGCGAACAGGAUUAGAUACCCUGGUAGUCCAUGCCGUAAACGUUGGGCACUAGGUGUGGGGCUCAUUCCACGAGUUCCGUGCCGCAGCAAACGCAUUAAGUGCCCCGCCUGGGGAGUAC
rnacentral:rRNA from 1 species